UACGGGGGGAGCAAGCGUUGUUCGGAUUUACUGGGCGUAAAGGGCGCGUAGGCGGUCAGCACAAGUCAGUUGUGAAAUCUCCGAGCUUAACUCGGAAAGGUCAACUGAUACUGUGCGACUAGAGUGCGGAAAGGGCAACCGGAAUUCUUGGUGUAGCGGUGAAAUGCGUAGAUAUCAAGAGGAACACCUGAGGCGAAGGCGGGUUGCUAGGCUGACACGUGACGCUGAGGCGCGAAAGCUAGGGUAGCAAACGGG
rnacentral:rRNA from 1 species